rnacentral:misc_RNA from 1 species
GGGGAAGUAGUAGUGGUUAGUACUUGAUAGUUGGUACUUAAUAGCACUGUUUUACUACUGUUCUUAUCUAACGUCACGUGCUGCAGUCAAGCGCACAGAUCUAAGAACUGGUUGCUGAUGUGGCAAUAUCAAGGGUGUCCAAGUCUUCCUAUCAUUUCUUGUAAAGCUUCAUAAUUACAGGCUGCAGGAACAGCCUCUCCUAAAAAUUUUCUGACUUUUGAGGGGGAGAGAGACAGAAAGAGUAGAGCAAUGGUACCAGCAGCUGCUACAGCCGCCUCGCUAAACUGCGCACUAUUUCACCGCCAAGGAGGACUGAAUCGAGCAACUAGUGGAUUACAAUGGACAAAGAAGCAGUGCACUAGAAAGCCAGGUCCUGCCAUAAUUACAGCUAAAUUUGAGCUCAAGCCGCCUCCAUAUCCUCUGAACGCAUUGGAGCCACAUAUGAGCAAGGAUACCCUGGAGUAUCACUGGGGAAAGCAUCACAGGGCUUAUGUUGAUAACUUAAACAAGCAAAUUGUAGGAACCGAACUAGAUAGCAUGCCGUUGGAAGAUGUGGUAAUUGUUACUUACAACAAGGGUGAUAUGCUUCCAGCUUUUAACAAUGCUGCGCAGGCGUGGAAUCAUGAGUUCUUCUGGGGAUGCAUGAAGCCAGGUGGCGGAGGAAAGCCAUCAGGAGAGCUUCUGCAAUUGAUUGAAAGAGACUUUGGUUCCUUUGAAAAAUUUGUGGAAGAGUUUAAGUCGGCAGCAGCAACACAGUUUGGUUCUGGAUGGGCUUGGCUUGUUUACAAAGCAAACAGGCUUGAUGUUGAAAAUGCAGUAAAUCCUCGUCCAUUAGAAGAGGACAAAAAGCUGGUUGUGGUGAAGAGUUCCAAUGCUGUAAAUCCGCUUGUUUGGGAUUACUCACCACUCCUUACAAUUGAUGUUUGGGAGCAUGCUUACUACCUUGACUUUCAGAAUCGAAGGCCUGAUUACAUAUCAACCUUUAUGGAGAAGCUUGUAUCAUGGGAAGCAGCCAGUGCUAGACUUGAAGUUGCUAAAGCUCAAGCUGCUGAGAGAGAAAAAGAAGAACAGAGGAAAAGAGAUGAAGCAGAGGACAUUCAGGGCAGUGAAGCUGUAGAAAUGUAUGUGGAUGGUGAAACUGAAGAUUCUGGGGCCGAUUAACUCGAGACUUUCUUUCAGGUACAGUAAUGUGGAAAAAUUUUGUGGCCUAUUAUCACAUCCAUCAUUUUGUAUCUUUGAUUGGAAUAUAGAGGUCGGUUGGAGCGGCACAGACCAUAGACGUUGAAACCAUGUCAAGGUUUUGUACGUGGAAUACUAUCCAGUGGUCUGUGGAAGCCAAGGAAAAGUAUUUAAUGAAAUAAGAUAAUUUUCAAGUUAAAUUCCUUUACCCUAUUUGGAUUGAGUGUAGCUUGAUUUAUUAAUAUAUCAUAUCGUACUGUAUGAUAUUGUAUGGUUUUAUUGAUAACAUGUUUGGAAAAAUGGUAUGGUACACCAUGAUUUAAU